UAUGGUCACGUAGCGUAACGUAACGUUAGUCAACGCACAAGAAACGUAUCGGUUAGAGCCUCCGCACUAGCUCUCGCAUGGUAACGUAACGUAGAUCAACGCACAAGAAAUGUAUAACGCCAUAACGGUCGUAACCAAUACGUUUCUUGUGCGUUAGCUCACGUUACGUUAUGCUACGUGACCAUACGAGAGUCUUGUGCGGUGGCUCUUACGCUGUGCGAGGCAUUCCCGGCGCUUCUCCAGCGGCAGGUCCCGGUGGCCCGCCCGUCGGCCGACCACUCCGCCGUGCGUCCUCCGAGCGCCCGUUUCUCCCUCGUCGCGAUUAUCGUCGUUACAUCUGGUCGUGAUCCCACGCUCCGGCACCACCUGUCAUCCCUACGGAAUGUUUCUCAAAAAGGUCUGUGUGUUCUGUACGGGGAUUCUCUAACUCCUUAACGACAGUUUUGGUAUCGUUGCGCAGCUUUUUUAUUAUAUAUAAUACCUGCGCAACGAUACCGAAACUGUCGUUAAGGAGUUAGAGAAUCCCCGUACUGGGCUGAAAAACAUAGUGAGAAACUUGGUGGCCCAGGAUGCACACUAGAAAUCGAUGAAGCAAAGAUUGGAAAAAGAAAAUACAAUCGUGGUCGGCUCGUAAAAGGUCAAUGGAUUUUCGGAGGAUAUGAGCAAGACACAAAGAAGAUUUUCAUCGUGCCAGUACAGGAUCGAACUGAAGAGACACUUCUGGCGUGUAUCAAAGAGUGGAUAUUGCCAGGCACCACCAUCAUGUCAGAUUGUUGGAAGUCCUAUAAUUGUUUAAACAAUGAAGGCUUCCAAUAUCUGACGGUAAACCACUCAUACAACUUUGUCGAUCCUGAAACUGGCGCGCAUACGCAGAAUAUAGAAUGUGUUUGGAGAGAAGUUCGCGGAAAUAUCCCAAGGUAUGGAACCAGGGAGGAUCACGUCCUUGGAUAUUUGAACGAAUAUCUCUUCAAACGCGCCUAUAGCCGCUUGGAGCGUAUAGAAAACUUCUUUGAUGUCAUCGCAGAAUUAUAUCCUCCGAUAUCCACUUUUGAGGACCAGCCGGAACUUGAGCCAGAAACAUCCGACGAACCAAGUACCAGUACUGCUUAGAGAUACGUUUCUUGUGCUCACUUUUUACGUAGUACCGUUUUCUACAUCGCCGCCUGCUGUCUAUAGCUGCCAUACCGACGAAGGGCGC